AAGGAUUGAGAACAUUAUUUUGGCGACACUCUAAAGAUGAACUCUGCUCUUGGUUUAGUGACUGUGAUACUCUUACUGCUCGGAAGAACUUGUGGAGACUCAGUGACUCAGAUGGAAGGCCAAGUGACAGUCCCAGAAGGAGCUUUCUUGACUAUAAACUGCACUUACACAGCCACAGGGUACCCGACCCUUUUCUGGUAUGUCCAGUAUCCUGAAGAAGGUCCACAGCUCCUUUUGAAAGCCGCAAAGGCCAACGAUAAGGGAAGCAACAAAGGCUUUGAAGCCACAUACAAAAAAGAAACCACCUCCUUCCACUUGGAGAAAGCCUCCAUCCAAGAGUCAGAUUCAGCUCUGUACUACUGUGCUCUGAAUGACACAGUGACAAAAACUGCAGGGGACAAGGUCUUAUGGGGACCUGAAACAACUGUAACUCUGAUCCCAAAGUGA